GGCCUUGCUAGCUCAGCUGGUAAAGCGGCCGCUCGGUAUGCGGGGGGUCGCCGGUUCAAUUCCGGCUCACGAGGUCC
rnacentral:tRNA from 1 species